AACUUGGAGACGUUGGCAGGAGCCCCGGGAAGAGUUCUCUUUUCUCCUUAACAGUCUAUAACCCUGAAAUCAGUUUGUCUGGAGCUAGGGUUCAAUGGCUGGUAGAGCACAGCAACUCUGUUGUGUCCGGUGCGCUCUUGACAACCCNUGAAAAUCCAAGGGAGUGAAUAAUUUUCACACCUGGUC
rnacentral:rRNA from 1 species